UACGUAGGGUCCGAGCGUUGUCCGGAAUUAUUGGGCGUAAAGAGCUCGUAGGCGGUUUGUCGCGUCUGCUGUGAAACCCCGAGGCUCAACCUCGGGUCUGCAGUGGGUACGGGCAGACUGGAGUGCGGUAGGGGAGAAUGGAAUUCCUGGUGUAGCGGUGGAAUGCGCAGAUAUCAGGAGGAACACCGAUGGCGAAGGCAGUUCUCUGGGCCGUAACUGACGCUGAGGAGCGAAAGCGUGGGGAGCGAACAGG
rnacentral:rRNA from 1 species